UACAGAGGGGGCAAGCGUUGUUCGGAAUUACUGGGCGUAAAGGGUGCGCAGGCGGUCCUGCAAGUCAGGCGUGAAAUCCCCGGGCUUAACCUGGGAAUGGCACUUGAAACUACGGGACUGGAGUAUGGCAGAGGGAGGUGGAAUUCCACGUGUAGCGGUGAAAUGCGUAGAGAUGUGGAGGAACACCGAUGGCGAAGGCAGCCUCCUGGGCCAAUACUGACGCUCAUGCACGAAAGCGUGGGGAGCAAACAGG
rnacentral:rRNA from 1 species